UCCGAAGUUGAGUAAUGGUAACUCGUUAGGCUCAUGCCCUGAUAUUACAAGUUCAAGUCUUGUUUUCGGAUCAA
rnacentral:tRNA from 1 species